rnacentral:rRNA from 1 species
UACGUAGGGACCAAGCGUUGUUCGGAUUUACUGGGCGUAAAGGGCGCGUAGGCGGCAAUUCAAGUCAUCUGUGAAAUCUCCGGGGCUUAACUCGGAACGGUCAGGUGAUACUGCUUUGCUAGAGUGCAGAAGGGGGCAAUCGGAAUUCUUGGUGUAGCGGGUGAAAUGCGUAGAUAUCAAGAGGGAACACCUGAGGUGAAGACGGUUGCUGGGCUGACACGUGACG